UAAUUAGGUGUUCUUGUUGAUUAGGCUAGUGAUCCCACGGGUUAAUCAUGUUUAAGAUUGACCUAACAACAUGUUUCAAGCAUAUCCACUGUCUCAAUGCUUCUCUUAUGGUAUGAUGUCAUCUUCAUGAGGCCCUUUUGCCUCUGUCCACAGAAAGAAAGGAUGUAGGGUACUGGUGCCAAAAGUAAUUCAUCACAUAGGAAAGAACUCAUAGAGCCGGAUCCCUAACUAACAUGAACGCAUAGAAAUAGAAAUAAAGGAAUAAGUCUACUUGACCCUGACCUAAUGAGGUUGGUCUACUUAAUCCUCUCACCUAUAAAAUUAGGUAUUCUACCACUCAACUAUUCAAAACCGUCUAAAUAACCCCUAGUGUGGUUUUGGAGACGGUUUUGCCUACGUGGCACAACAUAUGGACAAUGAGGUGGCAAGGGCACGUUUAAAAAUCUACUUCACCUAUAUAACUGUUUAUUUAGCCCGUCAAAGUAUUCAAUACCAUUGAAAUCAUCCCUUACACAUGGAAGAUGGCUUGGCACUGACUCUCUCCUUCCCUCCCUCCCUCCCCCCAUCCCUCUCGCUCUCUCCAUCUCUCUCUCUCACACACCACACACGCACGCACACACAAAAGCAUGUCCCACUAGUCAUCUUUUCACUGUUUAGCUCAUGGCCAAAGUAAAAUAAGAACCCAAAAUGGAGGCGAAGUUGAUGUCAAGUUGUCACAAAGUUAGAAUAAUGCAGA
rnacentral:lncRNA from 1 species